rnacentral:rRNA from 1 species
UACGAGAGGCCCAAACGUUAUUCGGAUUUACUGGGCUUAAAGAGUUCGUAGGCGGCGCAGAAAGUAGGGUGUGAAAGCCCUCGGCCUAACCGAGGAAUUGCGCUCUAAACUACUGUGCUUGAGGAAUCUAGAGGUGAGCGGAACUGAUGGUGGAGCGGUGAAAUGCGUUGAUAUCAUCAGGAACACCGGAGGCGAAGGCGGCUCACUGGGGAUUUUCUGACGCUGAGGAACGAAAGCCAGGGGAGCAAACGGG